CUACAGGGAAAAGAAUUCAAACUGCUUGGGCAUUGGUAUCCUCAGCAACGAAUGUGUCUUUGAUAUCACAAUUCUGCCAGGAAGGUCCACUCACUCAGUGAUUCCAGUACUCCAG